GUUGCUAUGAAGAGCUGUUAACAUGUAAGGAGAACUCUCGACAGUUCUGUUCUCCAAUGAGAUUUUCUUGUUACGCUUGGCUUCUGAGCUUA